rnacentral:rRNA from 1 species
AUUGAACGCUGGCGGCAGGCUUAACACAUGCAAGUCGAGCGAGCGGCGGACGGGUGAGUAAUGUCUGGGAAACUGCCUGACGGAGGGGGAUAACUACUGGAAACGGUAGCUAAUACCGCAUACCAUCAGAUGUGCCCAGAUGGGAUUAGCUAGUAGGUGGGGUAAUGGCUCACCUAGGCGACGAUCCCUAGCUGUUCUGAGAGGAUGACCAGCCACACUGGAGCUGAGACACGGUCCAGACUCCUACGAGAGGCAGCAGUGGGGAAUAUUGCACAAUGGGCGCAAGCCUGAUGCAGCCAUGCCGCGUGUGGGAAGAAGGCCUUCGGGUUGUAAAGCACUGUCAGCGAGGAGGGGUAACUCGCAGAAGAAGCACCGGCUAACUCCGUGCCAGCCGCCGCGGUAAUAC